AGCUAGAAUGCAACGUAAGCAAAAAUAGAAGUAUGUUUUAUCCUGUUCUCCUCCUUCACAUGAAAAAAUAGUCAUAUUCAUAUUAAUCGAUUCAACUCAAAGUUUAAUUAAUCAUCGAACAAAACACCGGUUGAUAUUUAAAAAAAUAUCCAACCUAAAAACGAAAUAUAAAAAAUUAUUAGAGAUGUUCUAAACUCAGAGUAGUAGAAAAAUUCCAAUUUACAAACAUAUUAAUAGGCAACUAUCACAUAUAUGUAUAUCAAUUUCUUAAUCAAUCACAUGUAGACAUACCUGAUAUUCUAAGAGGUUAGACACCAUCACCUCCAAGGACAAAAACCAAUAUACUUAUGAUGUAACUAUAUAUAUGCACACGAUAGCUUUUAAAUCAAUUCAAGAGACUAUAAUGUGUAACUUUAACAUAUGGAAGGUGAAGAUGCAUAACUUUUUCUCAUGGAGAUGUCAGACAAAGAAACCAUAGAGUUUUUG
rnacentral:lncRNA from 1 species